UACGUAGGGGGCAAGCGUUGUCCGGAUUUAUUGGGCGUAAAGAGCGUGUAGGCGGCUAGAUAGGUCCGUUGUGAAAACUCGAGGCUCAACCUCGAGACGUCGAUGGAAACCAUCUGGCUAGAGUCCGGAAGAGGAGAGUGGAAUUCCUGGUGUAGCGGUGAAAUGCGCAGAUAUCAGGAAGAACACCCGUGGCGAAGGCGGCUCUCCGGUACGUGACUGACGCUGAGACGCGAAAGCGUGGGGAGCAAACAGG
rnacentral:rRNA from 1 species